CAACGCCGCGUGAAGGAUGAAGUAUUUCGGUAUGUAAACUUCGAAAGAAUAGGAAGAAUAAAUGACGGUACUAUUUAUAAGGUCCGGCUAACUACGUGC
rnacentral:rRNA from 1 species